GGCGAGGUAGCUCAGGUGGUUAGAGCGUCGGAUUCAUAACCCGGAGGUCGAGGGUUCAAUUCCCUCCCUCGCUA
rnacentral:tRNA from 1 species